UACACAUGAUACUAAGCAAGGAAACAUAUGAGUAGAGUAUAAUAAAAACAACGGGGAUGCAAGCUCAAUACUAUAUAUCAAGAUAUAUAUAUAUAUGCCAGAUAAUAACGAGAGAACAGAGGUAAGAAACCAUCACCGAGCGUGCACCACUGUACCGACGUCGGAUCGAAGUACCCACCUGUACGAAUGCUGCGCCUGUCUCCUGACUGCGAAAGAGCGUCGACCGGACCUAAGGAAAGUCCACCGGGUUAGUGUCUAACCCACAACUAAUAACCACUAAAUCCACAACCUACAAGCAAACCCUUGGGGACCGGUUUCCCAAACCGAUCGUCGUAAUACGCCGGAAGUCCCGUAAUCGCACGGGGACUCCGCCGGAACCCACGAAUUGUCCCGGAACAUACCGACUCGAGCUACGAGUCACCUGCUGCCACUAAACAUAGAUACUCGUGCAUCAUGACAGCAAACACAACUCCUCGUGUCGAAACAAUUAUCGUCGGAUAAUCGUUUCGAUUCGGGUUCCCGGAAGUGUCUAAUUCGACACCGGAACCUACCGUCGCUCACCCGCCAUUUUCGAACCCUCAAGAUGAUGCGAGUGACCAGCCAACAAGGCUCAGCAACAAAACACGGAGCAACCAAACACCGUCGGAAAGAAUCCGAACCGAAAUCGCGUUCUUUCGGCGAAUUUCGCCGAAAAACGCACCGAAAUCAACCUUUCGAUUUCCGCGGAAGCUAACGGAUCAUGGACAAUCAGUCCAGAGGUCAAAAACACUCACGGGCACUGCCCACAGUAGCCACACGAUGCAUAAUUGCAUAAAAGCCCCUCAAUUUACAUAAAAUUCUAUCAUUUUAUGUAAUUUGAGCGAUCAAGCGACUCGUUCACGCAAACCGAGGACUUCCAAAGUCCGCAGAGACACGUACUGACAGGUCUCAACGUACCGGAGUCCGUGCUCACGAUCCGGAGCACAGCGGCUCGCUGUGGGAAGCGCGGGAGCAACCCGAAGGUUCAGCGAACAGCGCGCAGUCAAGGAAGAUCGCGCCGAACAGGACUAACCGGACACUUCUGAUCCAAGGGAAGGUGAGCAUUGUGAUCAGCACUGACCAGCGGUCACCAUGCUCACCGCCGGAGGCAUCGUAACAGCCUCGGAUCGCCGGAAAAACAAGCACAAACCUGAAACAGCAGCCAAAAAGGCUGAAACGGAGUGACGUCGUCAAAACAACGGAACGGGACCUUCCCGACAGAAUCCAAGGUGAGCACGAUGAUCAGAAACUUACCAGGAUCAUCGUGCUCCCUUCCGUAGAGAUCGGGGAAGCUCGGGAAGCCCAGAACAAGAAACCCACUCACUAAGCCUUAUUUCGGGCUUGGCCGGAGCAACCUUGCUCCGGCCGGCCUCCGGCGGCACGGCGGCACGCGCGGGGCCCUGAGUCGGGUGCGGGGGAGGUGAGGAACUCCGUGCUCACCUCGGUUGGCGACGAGAAGCGGCGGCGGCGUCGGCGGAGCAAGCUCGGCCCGCACGAGCUAGGACACGGAUUCCAAGGGAGCUGCGGCCACGACGGCGGCCGGGGUAGGUCGGGGAUGACGACGGCAGGUCCCCAGAGGCCAGAGAAGGAGGAAGGAGGCGGCCUCGAGUGGCGGCGGCGUCGGAGAAGACCGCAACAAAGCCUCGGCCUGGGCUCGGGCUAGGCGGCCGCGGCUGGCCGAGGCGGCGACGGCAGCGCACCGGGGCGGCGGCGACCGACGGGAAGGGAUGCCCGGGCACGGAGGAGGUCGGCGGGAGGGAUUCCAGGUGGUGGCGGCGCGCUGGCGGCAGUGGCAACCCGGCACGGCCAGGGCUCGGCCUGGGCUGGCAGAUGUGGCCCGGGGCGGCAGCGGCGGUGCAGGCAACGGCAGCGGUCGGAGGAGAUGAUCGCCGGAGCACGGGGCGACACCGAGGGAGGGUCCAAAGGUAGCGGUAGUCUCAGGCCUCCUCCCAACCCAAGAGGAGAGAGGGAGAGAGGAAGAGAGGGAGGAGAUAGAGAGGAAGGAUGGAGCAGCCAGCUCCGGCGGCCGGCGGCGUGCUCAGGUGGACGGGGCGCGCGCGGGGAGAGUAGGGGAACGUGGGGGGGGCGGCUAGGGGGCUAGGGCAAAGCUAGGGUUAGGUUAGGUGACUCCAAACCCUAGAGAAUAACUAUAUACUAGGUGCAACUUGCAAGAAAACCCCUCAAACAUCUGAAAUUGAAUCCGAGUCCCUCACGGUACGACUAAAACGCAAGAACGCCCCUCCACGUGCGAUCUCACGAGAAACGGUACAUAAAAUGUCGCGACUUUUGCGAAAUUACCGUUUUGCCAUCACCGACCUCUCCUCGAUCAACGCGCGAUCUCCGCAGAUCCGUCCGUCAGAUUUGCGAACGGAUUGCACCAGUGCGAUCAGCACCUCGGAGACAACCAAGCUACACUUUCGAUUCAUCUCGAUCGACCACGGAUUCACAACAAAAUCCAACCUUCUUCCAAUAGAAGGAAACAUACACACAAAUACAUAUAAAACAUGUAUUUUUGGAUUUUAUCGAAAUCCGUGCGUCAAACUCAAAAUCCAUCAGCGCCAUUAGUUCCAGAAUAGCUGAACCGGUCGAAACGAGCUAUUGGACUGAUAUGAACGGAGUCCGAUACGCACCAGAAGCCAACUCUACUCCGUGGCUUCUCCGGAAAACCAGAGUUACUAUUCACUUAAGUGAAAACUAAAAAUCGCGUAUCUUCUCCAUUUUAGCUCAUUUUCGUCCGAAACUUGACGAGUGCUUAUGUAAUUAAAUUACACACAUAAACAUCAUCAACAGAGAGUUUAGUUGCACUGUCAAAAAUCUCAGUCCUUACAUGUUGGCAGCACGUUUGGGCUGAGGAUAACUUCUGGACUGAUCGUCCAAGGCCCCAAGCCCUUGCGGAAAUCAAAAAGUGGUUUUCGGAGCGUUUUUCGGCGAAAUCCGCCGAUAGAAUGCGUUGUCGAUUCAGAAUUCAUCCGACGAUACCUUGUGGUUGAUUGUAGCGUCGCUGAGCCUUGUAGGCUGGUCACCCGUGCCGUUUCGAGGGUUUGGAAACGACGGGUGAGCGACGGGGGAGUUCUGGUGCGGUUUUCGGGACUUCCGGUUUGUUCGGUAAUCGGCUUUGGGAAACCGGUUCUCGUGGUUUUGGUGAGUGGGGAUUGUGAGUUAGCGUUACAUGUCAGUGGGUUAGAU
rnacentral:lncRNA from 1 species